rnacentral:rRNA from 1 species
AAUGAACGCUGGCGGCGUGCCUAACACAUGCAAGUCGAGCGAGAAGUCCCCUUCGGGGGCGAGUAAAGCGGCGCACGGGUGAGUAACGCGUGGGUAACCUGCCCUUGAGUGGGGGAUAACCAGCCGAAAGGCUGACUAAUCCCGCAUACGACCGGCAGACACAAGUCUGUCGGGGAAAGAUGGCCUCUGCUUGCAAGCUAUCGCUCUUGGAUGGGCCCGCGUUGGAUUAGCUAGUUGGUGGGGUAACGGCCUACCAAGGCUGCGAUCCAUAGCUGGUUUGAGAGGACGACCAGCCACACUGGAACUGAGACACGGUCCAGACUCCUACGGGAGGCAGCAGUGAGGAAUAUUGCGCAAUGGGGGAAACCCUGACGCAGCGACGCCGUGUGAGCGAUGAAGGCCUUCGGGUCGUAAAGCUCUGUCAGAGGGAAAGAAAGGGUCGGCGGAAUAAUACCCGCCGACAUUGACGGUACCCUCGGAGGAAGCACCGGCUAACUCCGUG